rnacentral:rRNA from 1 species
UACGUAGGGCGCGAGCGUUUGUCCGGAAUUAUUGGGCGUAAAGAGCUCGUAGGUGGUUGGUCGCGUCUGCCGUGAAAACCCAUGGCUUAACUGUGGGCUUGCGGUGGAUACGGGCCGACUUGAGGUAGGUAGGGGAGAAUGGAAUUCCCGGUGUAGCGGUGAAAUGCGCAGAUAUCGGGAGGAACACCGGUGGCGAAGGCGGUUCUCUGGGCCUUCCUGACGCUGAGGAGCGAAAGCGUGGGGAGCGAACAGGA